UCAGACCAGAGCAGAAACACAACGGUUGGGGUACCAAGUGCAUGUAGAGUUACACAAUGGAGUACUGUAGCAGUAGCACCGAAUACCAAUAAGCUUAACUUCCACAAAUAAGGUACAAGUGCAUAGCUUAACUUCCACAAAUAAGGUACAAGUGCAUAGUGCCAAAGUUCAUUAGCAACUGCUAAUAUGCACGGAGAGUAACGCCACAUAUCAGCGAACAUAAUUAAACAACUAGGGUUCCAUAACAUCACGGUACAUAACUAAAUUGUUCAAUAGCUCGGUUGGUCAAACCAUGGGUAAGGCUGGCUAUUCAAGGAUAUUUUGCAGAAGAAGAGUAGACCAACAAACUGUAACCUCCAUCUUGCAGAAAAUAAGAUCACAUACGUCUGUACUUCUUCCUGACGCUUGCAUCUCAAAGUCGACUGUACAUUGUGCAGAAAACCCAUCCCGAGAGGCCUUCACAGAAACAACCAGUUUUCCCUUUGGUUCAUCUACAGAAACAACAUGCCUCACAAGCUCAACCACACCAUCAGACUUGGUAGGCAGUUUUCCAUCUGGAAAAUCAAGCAGCACCACUUUCCCUCCUUUUACACUGUCGGUACUGCAAGCAACCAGCCCCGGACACUGAUCAGGCCAUGACCCAUCAACAACUCGGACACCCACAGUGGCCUGAACUGACGAAGGCAGCACUGCCAAAGCAAACUCAAGUGUGCAGCGCUUGCAGGGAAUAGGUCUUGGUAUCAGAAGACCGAACCGAAAAUCUUGACGAAACUCAUAAAAUUUGUAAGUCAACACUUCAUCCUCAGACUCUUUUUUGCACUUUACUUUUAACUGAACAUCAAUGAAAACCCUGCCAAGUAACCAAAUGCUUGAGACGGGCCUGUUAAGCGCAAAAAUGGAUCCUGCAAUGCAAGCAUCACAAUAAUAACUAAUUAAUUACCUGCCAGACUAUUAAAAGAAGUUGAAGCAGAA
rnacentral:lncRNA from 1 species